CAACGGAACAAUUUUUACUUUAGUGGCGGACGGGUGAGUAACGCGUGGGUAACCUGCCUUAUACAGGGGGAUAACACUUAGAAAUAGGUGCUAAGACCGCAUAAGCGCCCAGGGCCGCAUGGCCCAGGGUGAAAAACUCCGGUGGUAUAAGAUGGGCCCGCGUCUGAUUAGCCAGUUGGCAGGGUAACGGCCUACCAAAGCGACGAUCAGUAGCCGGCCUGAGAGGGUGGACGGCCACAUUGGGACUGAGACACGGCCCAAACUCCUACGGGAGGCAGCAG
rnacentral:rRNA from 1 species